rnacentral:ncRNA from 1 species
CUCUGUUUCAAUAGAUUCAGGGCAAAAAGGAG